GCGAGCGUAGCCCAACAGCAGAGGCAGCCGCUUCAAACCCGGCCCAGUGAAGGUGCAACUCCUUCCGCUCGCA
rnacentral:tRNA from 1 species